CAUCGUGCACGCGAAGUUUCUUGUUUGUGGAAAUUUUCGACGGGAAUCGUGUGUGAAAACUUGCCGGUACAGUCAAUGACUUUCCACAUUAAACGGCGAGGGGAGUUGUUGCAGCUUUAUAUUUCUUCCACUGGUCAUUAAAGAAAACUCUCUGAUUAAUUGACUCAAUCUGGAAAUGAUUACGCGCGCUUCGAUUGCGCAAGAGAUGAAAGGCGACAUACGCAGUUGCAUGCUACUGAUGUCGGUUUGCAUCUUUUCGUUGCGCUACACUUUCCCGGACAGUCAGUGUUAGGUACUUCGAAACGGAUGCGAAAAGGAACAAAGAAUGUCAUAACUUGCUGAAAUACCACACGAGACAAUCUCCAACCACGGACAGCCCGAGUAAAAGUUAGUCAUCUUUUUUGUGCAGAAAUCCGGGGGCCACCUCAAACCGGACCAUCAGCUGUUUCCGAUAUAGUUCAACGAGAUCUCAGGAAAACAAGAAAAUCCAUAAAAAAUAGCUUAAAUUGACCUUGGAAAAGGUCGAGAGAUGCUAUCAAAAGCUGACCUAAAAAAACAUAGAAACGUUUCUACAAGGUGGAAAGAAAGAAAGCAUACAGAAGUUUGUGCUGAAAAACAAUCCUAGCAUCCUGACGAAGUCGAAAAGAAAAAAAUCCUUAAUAUAAUUUUAGGU